rnacentral:lncRNA from 1 species
GUGACCAAAUCGUGAUACAGUGAUGACCCAGCUGCUGCUCUUCUGGGCCCUCCAAGGCCGACAGCAAAGACCAGACACACAUCCAGACAUCCACGAUGCAACGUCUACAAUCAGCUCCACGGCUGGUCACGCAGCAUCCCGCUGCCCUGCAGAGGCCCUGCUCCUUGGACCCUGGCUCUGGGCAGCUGCCUCCUCUGGGUCAUCACACUCUUUCCCAAACCCUCUUGCAGCUGAAAAUCUUGGUCAUCUGUGUGGCUAGACAGGUGACACUGGUUCUCCACCCAGAGUCUGUGGGUCCCACGAUUUUCCACCCCACGACAAGGCCUUCCCCUGCACCCGAACCAGGAUUUCCAUGGGCCCUCAUUACAAGUUUCAAUGUGGCCAGUGUCAGAGCCCAGGGAAGCUUUGAAUCCACGGCUCCCACUGAAAUCACCGGAGUCCCACCCCUAGGGACUGCUGCCAUCCGUCCAAGGGGUAGCCAGAGCUUCCAGGCGAUUCAAAUGUGCAGCCAGGGCUGCCAGUCACUGCUCCAGAGGACUGGCCUGGUUCCCUGCCCCGAUCCCUACAGCUGGUGCAUCCUCCACUGAGGUGAGGCGCCUCUGCAGCCUGAUCAGCCUCGAGACUGACCAGACAGUGCUCCCCUAACCCUCAGGGUAGGCUGGGAUCCAGGCUGCCCCACAUGCCUGAAGCAUGGAGCACAUAACCAGGACCACCCGCUUCCAGGGGCCCUGGGGCUGCUUCUAAGGCCAGAAAAGCCCUGCAGCUCAGAUUCAUUUAAUCAAGGCUGCGCUGGACUGGCUUCCCUCCCCUGCUCCUCCCCAUCCUUCCUCCUUUAGGACUAGGACUUGGAAUGCAUUUUUAUUAGACUUUUCCUAGGUGAAAAUAGUGCUGGGCUGGGGGUGGGGAAACUGGAUGGAGUGUGAUUUACACUUACCCUGAGUCCUCACACCUCCCAAGGGCAGCCGGAAUCAGCAGCCUGCUCACAGAGCUGCUGGCAGAUGGGGAGCCCUGCAAAGUCUGGGCUCAGAUCUGCCCCAGUGGGAACCACAUCUCUGCACAAGGGCCCAAAACCUCACAAAAGCCAAAGACCCUUUGCAAAACAAACAGGGGAAAGCUGGGUGUCAGUGUCUAUAGGGUUCAGGCAAAGACACCACUCAGAGAAACAGCCCGAACCCCUUACACAUCAGAUCAGACUGUCCCUAUUAUGUUUUCUCUUUGCUCCAAGCAGCACAUCUCUCUCUCUUUUUUUUUUUUAAGUCAAUUGCAUUUCUUGCUUUCGUUCUUUAUUUUGUUACAACUUUGCACAGGUCUUAGCUGUGGGACACGAGGUCUUCGUUGCAUCACACGGAAUCUUCCCUUGUGGCACAGGGACUCUCCAGCUGUGCCACUCCAGCUCCCUAGUGUGCGUGCUCAGUAGUUGCAGCCCACCGGCUUAGUCGAUCCUCAGACUGUGGGAUCUUAGUUUCUCGACCAGGGAUCGAACCCACGUCCCCCGCCUUCCCUCAGUCAUUUCACUCCUUCUAUGUCUGUGCACUGUGGUGUUAAUCCUCUAGGGAGGAGGCAGAUUUUAAAAGCCUGUUGGGCAUUUAUUUACAACCUUGAUAAGGGUUAAGGAGGGGCUGACCCAACCCAGAGGGUCAGCAAAGGGACAGCCUAGUUGCUCUCUGAUGGGUGUGCAAGGGGUAAAACCAUGAAGGUGAGGGACGCUAGUGCCCAGAAAGCAGGUGUGUGCCUCGUGAAGAAGAAAAGAGCAUGGCUUGUCCUAGAAACCAAGAGAAGAGGCAAGGUGGGGUGAGGGGGGGGAAUGCGGGGCAGGAAUAGAGAUGGCAGAUGAGUGGGNNNNNNNNNNNNNNNNNNNNNNNNNNNNNNNNNNNNNNNNNNNNNNNNNNNNNNNNNNNNNNNNNNNNNNNNNNNNNNNNNNNNNNNNNNNNNNNNNNNGUCAAAGCUAUGGUUUUUCCAGUAGUCAGGUAUGGUUGUGAGAGUUGGACCAUAAAGAUGACUGAGCACAGAGGGACUUUCAAACUGUGGUGCUGGAGAAGACUCUAGUGAGCCCCUUGGACAGCAAAGUAAUUAAACCAGGCAAUCCUAAAGGAAAUCAGCACUAAAUAUUCAUUGGAAGGAUUGAUGCUGAAGCUGAGGCUCCAACACUCUGAUCACCUGAUGCAAAGAGCCAAUUCACUGGGAAAGACCUUGAUGCUCGGAAAGACUGAAUGCAGGAGAAGAAUGUGGUGACAGAAGUUAAGAUGAUUGGAUGGCAUCAUGAACUCAAUGGACAUGAGCUUGGGAAAACUCCAGGAGAUAGUGAGGACAGGGAAACCUAACAUGCUGCAUUCCAUGGGGUCACAAAAUGUUGGACUUGAUUGAGCAACUGAACAACAACUGAUGCUAAUAAUAGCAAUGUGCUAUUAC